rnacentral:rRNA from 1 species
GAGUUUGAUCGUGGCUCAGGACGAACGCUGGCGGCGUGCUUAACACAUGCAAGUCGAGCGGUAAGGCCUUUCGGGGUACGACGAGCGGCGAACGGGUGAGUAACACGUGGGUGAUCUGCCCUGCACUUCGGGAUAAGCCUGGGAAACUGGGUCUAAUACCGGAUAUGACCUCCUAUCGCAUGGUGGGUGGUGGAAAGAUUUAUCGGUGCAGGAUGGGCCCGCGGCCUAUCAGCUUGUUGGUGGGGUAAUGGCCUACCAAGGCGACGACGGGUAGCCGACCUGAGAGGGUGACCGGCCACACUGGGACUGAGACACGGCCCAGACUCCUACGGGAGGCAGCAGUGGGGAAUAUUGCACAAUGGGCGAAAGCCUGAUGCAGCGACGCCGCGUGAGGGAUGACGGCCUCGGUUGUAA